CGUGUAGGCGGUUUGGCAAGUCAGAGGUGAAAUGCCCCGGCUCAACCGGGGACCUGCCUUUGAAACUGCCGAACUUGAGGCCGUGAGGGGAGACUGGAAUUCCUAGUGUAGCGGUGAAAUGCAUAGAUAUUAGGAAGAACACCAGUGGCGAAGGCGAGUCUCUGGCACGGUUCUGACGCUGAGGCGCGAAAGCUAGGAGAGCGAACG
rnacentral:rRNA from 1 species